rnacentral:tRNA from 1 species
CAAGACGUAGCUACAACAAAAGCAUUCAGCUUACACCUGAAAGAUAUCUGCUAUCCACCAGAUCGCCUUGA